GGCUGAAAUUCAGGAAGUAGUGCAGCUGGGCAUAAAGCCUAUUGCUAAGGAGAUCCUCAUCCAGCUCGAUUUUAUUAGAGAGCAGCAGUUGCAGACUUCACCCCAGACCCAACACAUUUUGGGCUCCCACUUUCAACUAUUGAGGAGCUACAAUGUUUGUAGGAGACAUUAAAUAAUCCAGAUGAGAAGAAGAAUUUGACUGUUUUUCCUGGAAUGGUCGGAGACAAGACUCUUAAAGACACCGUGGGGUGGGUCCUGAAAAAAACAAUGAACUCUUCGUGGUGAGACUCAUCAAUUGAAGUGGGGUCAACUGAAAGCCUGCAUUCAAAGGGCUCACUUUGAAAAGUGUGGUUUUGGAUGCAGUCUGCCGGAAUGCCCUGACCAAAGAUAACACAGAAAAGGAGAUAGAGCUCCUCAUCACCAGGUGGUCGGUGCUAGCAUAUGACAGGGAUGGUGGCCGAAUCCAGACAAUAGACAGACAAUGAAUUAAAAUGUUUUAAAUUUAAAAAUGUUGAUUUUUGGAAAAUUCGUAUUUGAACUGAUUGGGUGUGUGUGUGUGUGUGUGUGUGUGUGUGUGUGUGUGUGUGUGUGUGUGUGUGUGUGUGUGUGUGUGUGUGUGUGUGUGUGUGUGUGCACCUGGUAAUUAUCACGUUGUGUCCCCACAAAGAUAGGAAUACCAGUAUUUUUGUGACCUUGUGUCCCCAUGAGGAAACAAGCUUAUAAAUCAAACAAAAUGAUGUUUCUUGUAAAUGUGGAGUAGGAGAAGGGUUUCUGUGAUGGUUGGGUUUAGGGAAUGGGGUAGGUAAGGGGAAUAAAAUAUACAGUUUGUAUGGUAUAAAAUGCAUUACGUCUAUGGAAUGUCCCCACAAAACAUGGAAACCUGUUUGUGUGUACGAGAG